rnacentral:rRNA from 1 species
CAGCAGCCGCCACGGUAAUACGGAGGAUCCAAGCGUUAUCCGGAUUUAUUGGGUUUAAAGGGUGCGUAGGUGGCCUGUUAAGUCAGGGGUGAAAGACGGUAGCUUAACUAUCGCAGUGCCCUUGAUACUGAUGGGCUUGAAUGAACUAGAGGUAGGCGGAAUGUGACAAGUAGCGGUGAAAUGCAUAGAUAUGUCACAGAACACCAAUUGCGAAGGCAGCUUACUAUGGUUUUAUUGACACUGAGGCACGAAAGCGUGGGGAGCAAACAGGAUUAGAUACCCCCGUAGUCCCUGUCUCUUAUAC